rnacentral:rRNA from 1 species
CGAACGCUGGCGGCGUGCUUAACACAUGCAAGUCGAACGGAAAGGCCCUGCUUUUGUGGGGUGCUCGAGUGGCGAACGGGUGAGUAACACGUGAGUAACCUGCCCUUGACUUUGGGAUAACUUCAGGAAACUGGGGCUAAUACCGGAUAGGAGCUCCUGCUGCAUGGUGGGGGUUGGAAAGUUUCGGCGGUUGGGGAUGGACUCGCGGCUUAUCAGCUUGUUGGUGGGGUAGUGGCUUACCAAGGCUUUGACGGGUAGCCGGCCUGAGAGGGUGACCGGCCACAUUGGGACUGAGAUACGGCCCAGACUCCUACGGGAGGCAGCAGUGGGGAAUAUUGCACAAUGGGCGGAAGCCUGAUGCAGCAACGCCGCGUGCGGGAUGACGGCCUUCGGGUUGUAAACCGCUUUCGCCUGUGACGAAGCGUGAGUGACGGUAAUGGGUAAAGAAGCACCGGCUAACUACGUGCCAGCAGCCGCGGUGAUACGUAGGGUGCGAGCGUUGUCCGGAUUUAUUGGGCGUAAAGGGCUCAUAGGUGGUUGAUCGCGUCGGAAGUGUAAUCUUGGGGCUUAACCCUGAGCGUGCUUUCGAUACGGGUUGACUUGAGGAAGGUAGGGGAGAAUGGAAUUCCUGGUGGAGCGGUGGAAUGCGCAGAUAUCAGGAGGAACACCAGUGGCGAAGGCGGUUCUCUGGGCCUUUCCUGACGCUGAGGAGCGAAAGCGUGGGGAGCGAACAGGCUUAGAUACCCUGGUAGUCCACGCUGUAAACGGUGGGUACUAGGUGUGGGGUCCAUUCCACGGGUUCCGUGCCGUAGCUAACGCUUUAAGUACCCCGCCUGGGGAGUACGGCCGCAAGGCUAAAACUCAAAGGAAUUGACGGGGCCCCGCACAAGCGGCGGAGCAUGCGGAUUAAUUCGAUGCAACGCGUAGAACCUUACCUGGGUUUGACAUGGAUCGGGAGUGCUCAGAGAUGGGUGUGCCUCUUUUGGGGUCGGUUCACAGGUGGUGCAUGGCUGUCGUCAGCUCGUGUCGUGAGAUGUUGGGUUAAGUCCCGCAACGAGCGCAACCCUUGUUCACUGUUGCCAGCACGUUAUGGUGGGGACUCAGUGGAGACCGCCGGGGUCAACUCGGAGGAAGGUGGGGAUGACGUCAAGUCAUCAUGCCCCUUAUGUCCAGGGCUUCACGCAUGCUACAAUGGCUGGUACAGAGAGUGGCGAGCCUGUGAGGGUGAGCGAAUCUCGGAAAGCCGGUCUCAGUUCGGAUUGGGGUCUGCAACUCGACCUCAUGAAGUCGGAGUCGCUAGUAAUCGCAGAUCAGCAACGCUGCGGUGAAUACGUUCCCGGG